GAUGAACGCUGGCGGCGUGCCUAAUACAUGCAAGUCGAGCGAAUGGAUUAAGAGCUUGCUCUUAUGAAGUUAGCGGCGGACGGGUGAGUAACACGUGGGUAACCUGCCCAUAAGACUGGGAUAACUCCGGGAAACCGGGGCUAAUACCGGAUAACAUUUUGAACCGCAUGGUUCGAAAUUGAAAGGCGGCUUCGGCUGUCACUUAUGGAUGGACCCGCGUCGCAUUAGCUAGUUGGUGAGGUAACGGCUCACCAAGGCAACGAUGCGUAGCCGACCUGAGAGGGUGAUCGGCCACACUGGGACUGAGACACGGCCCAGACUCCUACGGGGGGCAGCAGUAGGGAAUCUUCCGCAAUGGACGAAAGUCUGACGGAGCAACGCCGCGUGAGUGAUGAAGGCUUUCGGGUCGUAAAUCUCUGUUGUUAGGGAAGAACAAGUGCUAGUUGAAUAAGCUGGCACCGUGACGGUACCUAACCAGAAAGCCACGGCUAACUACGUGCCAGCCGCCGCAGUAA
rnacentral:rRNA from 1 species